rnacentral:rRNA from 1 species
UACGUAGGGUGCAAGCGUUGUCCGGAAUUAUUGGGCGUAAAGAGCUCGUAGGCGGCUUGUCACGUCGACUGUGAAAACCCGGGGCUCAACUCCGGGCCUGCAGUCGAUACGGGCAGGCUAGAGUUCGGUAGGGGAGAUCGGAAUUCCUGGUGUAGCGGUGAAAUGCGCAGAUAUCAGGAGGAACACCGGUGGCGAAGGCGGAUCUCUGGGCCGAUACUGACGCUGAGGAGCGAAAGCGUGGGGAGCGAACAGG